rnacentral:rRNA from 1 species
UCCUGGUGAUUCAUUGAUAACUUUACGAAUCGCAUGGCCUUGUGCCGGCGAUGGUUCAUUCAAAUUUCUGCCCUGUCAACUUUCGAUGGUAGGAUAGUGGCCUACCAUGGUUUCAACGGGUAACGGGGAAUUAGGGUUCUAUUCCGGAGAGGGAGCCUGAGAAACGGCUACCACAUCCAAGGAAGGCAGCAGGCGCGCAAAUUACCCAAUCCCGACACGGGGAGGUAGUGACAAUAAAUACUGAUACAGGGCCCUUUCGGGUCUUGUAAUUGGAAUGAGUACAAUUUAAAUCCAUUAACGAGGAACAAUUGGAGGGCAAGUCUGGUGCCAGCAGCCGCGGUAAUUCCAGCUCCAAUAGCGUAUAUUAAAGUUGUUGCAGUUAAAAAGCUCGUAGUUGAACCUUGGGCCUGGCUGGUCGGUCCGCCUCACCGCGUGCACUGAUCCGGCCGGGCCUUUCCUCCUGGGGAGCCGCAUGCCCUUCACUGGGUGUGUCGGGGAACCAGGACUUUUACUUUGAAAAAAUUAGAGUGUUUAAAGCAGGCUUGCGCUAUGAAUACAUUAGCAUGGAAUAAUAAUUUAGGAUUUUGUUCCUAUUUUGUUGGUUUCCUAGGGAUGAAGUAAUGAUUGAUAGGGGCAGUUGGGGGUGCUAGUAUUCAGCGGCCAGGAGGUGAAUUUC